rnacentral:pre_miRNA from 1 species
AGCUUUUCGAAUCCGUGCUGAGGUUUCGUCACACACCAUUCCAUUUGGGCUGAUUAAACUCCCAAGAUAAGUGAGGUU